rnacentral:rRNA from 1 species
AUUGAACGCUGGCGGCAUGCUUUACACAUGCAAGUCGAACGGUAACAGGCCGCAAGGUGCUGACGAGUGGCGAACGGGUGAGUAAUGCAUCGGAACGUGCCCAGUCGUGGGGGAUAACUACUCGAAAGAGUAGCUAAUACCGCAUACGAUCUAUGGAUGAAAGCGGGGGACCGUAAGGCCUCGCGCGAUUGGAGCGGCCGAUGUCAGAUUAGGUAGUUGGUGGGGUAAAGGCUCACCAAGCCAACGAUUUGUAGCUGGUCUGAGAGGACGACCAGCCACACUGGGACUGAGACACGGCCCAGACUCCUACGGGAGGCAGCAGUGGGGAAUUUUGGACAAUGGGCGCAAGCCUGAUCCAGCAAUGCCGCGUGCAGGAAGAAGGCCUUCGGGUUGUAAACUGCUUUUGUACGGAACGAAACGGCUCUGGUUAAUACCCGGGGCUAAUGACGGUACCGUAAGAAUAAGCACCGGCUAACUACGUG